rnacentral:lncRNA from 1 species
GUGCCUGCAUUUGAGGAUGAGAAGCUGGCCUGGGGCAUCUGCAGGGCUUGGGGCUGCAUGUCCCACACACCAUGGCCUUAGUCCUCCCUGCGUUCCUUGCCUUUUCUUCCUUUUCCUUCCUGUUUUCUCUCUCAUUCAUUCUCAAUUCUCUCUUCUUUUUAUCACUAUCUACAUCACCCAAAUACACUUCUUAACUAAUUAAAAUCUCUACAGUGUGUUCAAAAGUUAUUUCUCACCUGCAGGACUCCCUUGACCUCCAGGCUGUCCGUUCCCCCAUUUCAUUAUGCCCCCAAAAGGCUGUGCACGUUUUAAAACAUGUUCUCUCCACAAACACAGAAUUCCCUGAGCCCCUCAGCAGAACUGAAUAGAGAGGAAAUGAAAAGCAUAUUAAAUUCCUCUUAGAUCCCCAGGCUGAUUUCUUUAAGGCUCAGUGCUCAGGCUGCAUGAUAAGAUAACCAUUUUGUGAAAAGAUGAAAGCUGCUCCGGGCAGGCCGACUUUGUGCAGGUACAAUACAGAUAGGGAGGCGCUUAUGUCUCCAUCCUUCCUCCCCCGCUCCCAUCUCACCACCUCUUUUCUGUUGAGAUUGUCUAGAAUGCCCUGGCCCUCUUUUCUAUCCAUUGGAUUUUACCAUUUUCAUUCCAACCUCUCUUGUCAGAGGCAAAGCCCCAGGGUGCAGCCCUCCCCGCAGCGUGGCCACAGUCACUCAGAAAUCCAGAGAGUCACGGCCCCCCGUGCACAUGUGUGUGAAUCUAUCAGCGCAGUGCCCUCAGAUCCCCACCCUGAGGCACAGCCCCUCAUGUCAUGACAGCUGUCACUCAUCUUUUUUUUUUUUCUUUUUGAGACAGAGUCUUGCUGUUACCCAGGCUGGAGUGCAGUGGUGCGAUCUGCACUCACUGCAACCUCCACCUCCCAGGCUUAAGUGAUUCUCAUGCAGCCUCCUGAGUAGCUGCGAUUACAGGUGCACACCACCACGCCUGACUAAGUUUUGUAUUUUUAGUAGAGAUGGGGUUUCACCCUGUUGCCCAGGCUGAUCUUGAACUCCCAACCUCAAGUGAUCCACCUGCCUUGGCCCCCCAAAGUGCUGGGAUUCCAAGCUUGAGCCACGGCACCUGGCCUGUCACUCAUCCUUUUUCGUUUGUUUUCAUAACUAACAGCAUGUCCACCAACAGACUCUGAGAAAGCUCAGGCAGCACAUAUUCUCUGGGGCAUAAUCGCUGCUGUUGGCUGGAUGCCUUCUGCAUUGAGAUUCAACCCACAGACAAGUUGUCAAGUCCAUCUGGGUAAGGACUCGGAAGAGGAAAACAGAUUACCACGUGACACAAGUAGCCACACCAUUAAAACACUAGCGACUGUUGCUGUGAUGGACAGCUCUAAUCUCGGUGCCCUUGGGGAUAACAAGCCCAUCCCCACGAGCUGAGUGAGAAUUUAACUUGUGCCUGGAGCCAGAAGCGUGACGCGGAGUGGACGGGGGUCCGUUGAGCCUUGCCAGGAUCCCGCGCCUUCACCGGGAGCUGUGAUGGGGCCACCUUUUCCCUCUCCAGGCCCCACUUUCCUGUUUGGAGGAUGCCAACAGCGAGACCUGCCCACAUUGCAUUGCUUUGCAUGUCUAGCUGUGCUUGAUACAGAAGACCUUUUGUGUGGAUGUGUGACAUGCAUGCCUCAGAGCUGGCAGGUGGGACACAGUGUGCCAUGAGCACCACGGCCCACGUCCUGUGGGACCUCCCUUCUCUGUCUUCUUCCUGUACCCCCGAGACCCCUCAGUCCAUCCUCAGCAGCCGGAGAGACCCCUUCAAGUGUCAGUGGCUUCCCAUCUCUUCUCUGCUCCUAUGGCCUCCAGACUCAGAAGCCCGGCAAAGUCCUGUGAUUGCCAGCACCACCCUUCAGGACCCAGACAGGGCCUCCUCUUGCCUGUUCUCCCUGUGGUCCUCCUCCCUAGCAGUGCCGCCCCAGGCACCAACUCAGAGCUGUGGCGCACCGUGCCCGGAACCCUCCACCCAGGACCCUCAGAGAGCCAUCCUACUUCCUUAGGUCUCUGCCCCAGUCAAGCCCUCCCCACCACACCUGUCCCAGGGGGUAAAGCCUGGACACGCAUGGUGAUCAGCCCCUUGCCCAGCGUUUUUUAGAGUGUUUGUCACUGUCUGACGUGUGCCUGUUUAUCUGUUUAUUGCCAGUACCACCUCCCAGCUGAAGACUGUGGAGCAGGGGCUGUUUCACUAACUGUCCACCAUGGUGCCUUGUUUGCAGCAGGUGCUUUGUAAAUUUUGUUUGAAAGGCUGGGUUGGGUCAUUAAUGAAAGAGAGAGAAAGGAAGGCAGGAAAACACUUUUAAAACUAAUACCACAGAAGAUCUAUCUAAAACCUCUCCAAUUCUAUAAUUCUAUGACCUCAUGAGAAAACAAAACAAAAGCAAAAAAAAAAAAAAA